rnacentral:rRNA from 1 species
ACAAGCGGUGGAGCAUGUGGUUUAAUUCGACGCUAACGCGAAGACUUACCAGGCUUGACAUCCCUGACCGCGUAUGAAACGGUACGUUUUCACCCUCGGGUGACAGGGAGACAGGUGCUGCAUGGCUGUCGUCAGCUCGUGUCGUGAGAUGUUGGGUUAAAUCCCGCAACGAGCGCAACCCCUAUCUUUAGUUGCCAUCAUUGAGUUGGGCACUCUAAAGAGACUGCCGGUGUCAAACCGGAGGAAGGUGGGGAUGACGUCAAGUCCUCAUGGCCUUUAUGACCAGGGCUACACACGUACUACAAUGGCCGGUACAAAGGGCAGCGACACAGCGAUGUGAAGCCAAUCCCGAAAAGCCGGUCUCAGUCCGGAUUGGAGUCUGCAACUCGACUCCAUGAAGUUGGAAUCGCUAGUAAUCGCGGAUCAGCACGCCGCGGUGAAUACGUUCCCGGGCCUU